rnacentral:rRNA from 1 species
GAUGAACGCUGGCGGCGUGCCUAAUACAUGCAAGUCGAGCGAACAGACGAGGAGCUUGCUCCUCUGACGUUAGCGGCGGACGGGUGAGUAACACGUGGAUAACCUACCUAUAAGACUGGGAUAACUUCGGGAAACCGGAGCUAAUACCGGAUAAUAUAUUGAGCCGGAUGGUUCAAUAGAUAAAGACGGUUUUGGUGUCACUUAUAGCUGGUUCCGGCUGCAUUAGCUAGUUGGUAAGGUAAAGGCCUACCAAGGCAACGAUGCGUAGCCGAACUGAGAGGGUGAUCAGCCACACUGGAACUGAGACACGGUCCAGACUCCUACGGGAGGCAGCAGUAGGGAAUCUUCCGCAAUGGGCGAAAGCCUGACGGAGCAACGCCGCGUGAGUGAUGAAGGUCUUCGGAUCGUAAAGCUCUGUUAUUAGGGAAGAACAAAUGUGUAAGUAACUAUGGACGUCUUGACGGUACCUAAUCAGAAAGCAACGGCUAACUACGUG